rnacentral:rRNA from 1 species
AGGCAGCAGCAAGGAAUAUUGUCAAUGGGCGAAAGCCUGACACACCUACGCCGCGUAAGGGAAGAAGGCCUUCGGGUUGUAAACCCCUUUUUCAGGGAAGAAUAAUGACGGUACCUGAGGAAUAAGUCUCGGCUAACUACGUGCCAGCAGCCGCGGUAAUACGUAGGAGGCGAGCGUUAUCCGGAUUUAUUGGGCGUAAAGAGGGCGUAGGCGGUCUUUCAAGUCGGAUGUGAAAUCUCCCGGCUUAACUGGGAGGGGUCAUUCGAUACUGUUGGACUAGAGGGCAGCAGAGGGAAGUGGAAUUCCCGGUGUAGUGGUGAAAUGCGUAGAUAUCGGAGGAACACCAGUGGCGAAGGCGGCUUCCUGGGCUGUUUCUGACGCUGAGGCCCGAAAGCGUGGGGAGCGAACAGGAUUAGAUACCCUGGUAGUCCACGCUGUAAACUAUGGACACUAGGUAUGGGGAGUAUCGACCCUUCGUGCCGAAGCUAACGC